rnacentral:snoRNA from 1 species
AGUCCAUGAUGUGAGCAGCAUCUAAGUAGGUCCUUAUAUCUCUCCCAAGUGUCGUAUAUCGACUCAUCAUCAAACUGCACAAAAGAAGAUGUCAUUUCUAAUUUU